rnacentral:rRNA from 1 species
AGGACGAACGCUGGCGGCGUGCUUAACACAUGCAAGUCGAGCGGUAAGGCCUUUCGGGGUACACGAGCGGCGAACGGGUGAGUAACACGUGGGUGAUCUGCCCUGCACUCUGGGAUAAGCCUGGGAAACUGGGUCUAAUACCGGAUAUGACCUGCUCUCGCAGUGGGGGGUGGUGGAAAGAUUUAUCGGGUGCAGGGAUGGGCCCGCGGCCUAUCAGCUUGUUGGUGGGGUAAUGGGCCUACCAAGGCGACGACGGGUAGCCGACCUGAGAGGGUGACCGGCCACGACUGGGACUGAGACACGGCCCAGACUCCUACGGGAGGCAGCAGUGGGAAUAUGCACAAUGGGCGAAAGCCUGAUGCAGCGACGCCGCGUGAGGAUGAAGGCCUUACGGGUUAGUAAACCUCUUUAC